GGUGCCUCAAUGGCCAUCCUAUCCUUACCAGGGUGGAUCUAGGAUUUUGAAGGGUGGGGGGAGGGUGAAGGUGCAUGGUUAGUCACAUAGAAUAUGACAGGAAAGCUUCUUUGGGGAGAUGUGAUAACUUUUAUUGGUUGGAAAAAAGUUCUUUUGAUGCUUUCAGGCACAAGUAUCUUUCUUCACUCAGGCAUAGGGAGUCCCUGCUGUCCUGAGAUCUGCAAGGAAUGAAAGAAACUAAAAAUGUGCCAGGAUGUCAGUGAGAAUGUAAAUAGGUGGAAAUUAAGGAAACAAUGGGAAGUCAGGGGGAAAUAAUGCCAAAAGUAAAUAAGGGAGACUCUACUCAAGGUAGAAAAGAGGCAGUCUGUGAAAUAGCUGGAAAUUAGGAAGACAAAGGGUAGAAAAGGAGGGGAGGGGAGGAAAAGGGAAAAAGAAAAGUGUAAAUGUUAAGGUCUGGAGGUAUCUGGUGAAUCAGAUGUCGGACAGGUUGUUAAUGUGUGUCCAUGACUUUUUGUAUCCAGUAGGUUUGUGAAGUUUGUUCAUGACACACAUUUUUCUCCAGUUAAAAGAGACUAGAAACUUUCUUAACAGGCUUGGGACCUAAGCACUGUAUUAUUCAGUUCAAGAUCAAAGUAAAAGCAAACAUAACUUUAUCAGCAUGUGCCUGAAUUUGCUAGAUUAUACAUUAAGUUUAAAAGACAGCAGACACUAGGCCAAAAACAAAGAUCCAGAUAGUCAAAACAGAUUGUUUCAUUAGUCUGGAAGUUAUUAUAGUUAGACGUACAUAGCAUGCAGACUUGUAACAAAAUCUAGUUUUCUUGAGUGUCUUGAGAGUGCUUCCAGUACUUCACCAUCAGUCCUGAGUUAAUAUAUCUCAGUUAAGGUUUUUAGGUAGAGCUAAAAAACAGUUUGCAGGGCAAUGAGAUAGAAGAGAGACUUUAUCUGGAGCAAAAUUCAGAAGAAAGGAUACUUUGGAUAGCAGAACAUCAAGACCAUUAAAAAGGAGAGUGGGUCCUUAACACCUAUGGAAUUAAGUGACAUUAACAGGAAUCAGAUCAUAGUGAGCCAUGAAGUCAAUUGACUCAGUGCUGCCUGAACAGAAAUGCCAUUGCCCCUCCUAAGCAGUUGGCUUUAAAGCUUGGGUAGAGCAGAAAUCAAAGGGGAGAAAGUACAAAUGUACCUCCCUUAAUCCACCCUUGAUUCUUACCAACAGCAAGGCCCAAUGCAUGAGCAAACCCAUGUCCCAAAUGCAUCAGAAGUUGCAAGACAUCACAUAAUAGAGAAUUACAAUAACUAACUGUAAAGGGGGAAUUUCUUCCUACCCUCUCUUUGUGGUGGCCUUUGUUGCUAAGAUCUUGGCCUUGAAACCUUGUGGGAGUAAGUCCCAACUUUUUAUCAGUGUCAAAUUUGUUGCUCUUGAAACGUCAUGGGCUCAGUUUUAUAUCAGACCCUACAACAGGGCCUGCCUCUGAAACAUUCUGUGCAUCCUAUAUCCCUUAGCAGACAUGGUCAAUGCCUUAAAGAGCUUGCAAAUUAAUUUUAGACAAAAUCCCAGUGACUUUUGCCAUUGCUGUGUCCUGUCUAACCCUCACUGCCGGCUGACUGCAGCACUUCUUUGCCAGGGUGGCCUCCAGCCCCCAGGGGGAAAGGCAGGAAUAAGACAAAUUUGUGGGCAACCACCUGAUUACCAAGUCCAGCUCAGGCAGCUGGUUCCUCCACCAGGUAGCUUUACUCCUCCCCUAACUUUGGGGACUGAGGUAGAGAGAAAUCAGUGUUAGUAGUGCAGGGAUCCCAGCCUGCAGAAGAGAGCAGCAGCAAUUCCCAGAGAAGGCUACCUCCGGAAGCAUGGGAGUGGGAGAAGCAGGACAGGAAUGACAGGUGUGAGAUGAUGAAGACAGGCUACCACAUAUACAAGCUCCUUUCAGUCUUAUUGGUUAGCAUAAUUCAUCCAGCAGUUUGAUCCAUUUGGCUCCAAUUCAUCCGUGCAGCUCCACGUGGCCUUUACAGCACCUGAAGUGGGCUAAAUGUUUUCCUGAAACUUCAGGAAGGCACAAUUCCUGACACAACUCAACCAUCUAAGGGCAGAGAGGUGAAGUCCCUCUUUGGUGCAGCACUAACCCAGACAGGCAUUCACCUCCUCCUCCCAGGCAUUGCUUCUCCUCCUUAAUCAUUGCUGUUUGAAAUAUAGCUAAAACUAACACUAACAACUUACCUGGCACUGCCUGAAGGGAAUAGUUCUUUGGAGGGACUCUGCUGAAGGAGCCAGUGACCAGGGAUGUGGAGAAUUAAUUUCUAGGCAGGACUCAGAGGCAACUCAGGUGGGAAAAGAACAAAUAAAUAAAUCACCAUCAGGAACACAGACAUAACAGAAGUAUAAAAUGAAGACUGAUGACAUCAUCCUGUCUGUCUCCUUUCUAGCACUAGAUUCUCCUCUAGAGUAUUUUCUAGUUCUGUCCAGUCUAGUUUUAAACAACCCAAGUGCCAGAACUUCCAAUUCUUCAGUUGACAGAUUAUUAUACAAAAGAAGACUCACAUCUCCACUAGAGAAUUAAUCAAGCCUAUAGAACAAAGAACCCAAUUAAAACAUGUAUGCUAACUCUUUUCAAACAAA